rnacentral:rRNA from 1 species
UACGUAGGGUGCGAGCGUUGUCCGGAAUUAUUGGGCGUAAAGGGCUUGUAGGCGGUCUGUCGCGUCGGGGGUGAAAACUCAGGGCUUAACCCUGAGCCUGCCUCCGAUACGGGCAGACUAGAGGUAUGCAGGGGAGACCGGAAUUCCUGGUGUAGCGGUGAAAUGCGUAGAUAUCAGGAGGAACACCGGUGGCGAAGGCGGUUCUCUGGGCAUUACCUGACGCUGAGGUGCGAAAGUGUGGGGAGCGAACAGG